rnacentral:lncRNA from 1 species
ACCAAAACAACAUUGGAAAUCCAAUCAGGAUAGUUGACUUCCUUAAUGAAUAUGGCCUUAAGAAGCUUAUCCACUUCCUCGGCUAUCGCCUUCUGCCUCUCUGGGGCAUGGCUCCGAAUUUUUUCUUUUGUCGGUCGAUGCUUUGGGUCGACAGCCAGAUGAUGCUCCAUGACUUUCGUGUCAAUCUCCGGCAUGUCAGCUGGAACCCAAGCGAAAACGUCCGUAUUUCUUCAUAGAAAAUCAAUAAGAUGCGUCCGCACCUCCUCCCCCAGGUUGGAACCAAUUAGCACCACAUGAUCCGCAUUCCCAUCAUUCAAAGGGAUUGGUACUAGAUCUUCGAUUGGGCCGCCCCUCUCUUCAGCGAGGUCAUCGCGAGCAUCCAAUCCAUCGACAGGACAGGGGUCCGAUUGAUCGCUUCUUUGCAAGGCGAUGUUGUAGCAGUGCCUCGCUAGGGCUUGGUCUCCCCGGACCUCUCCAAUCCCCUGGCUGGUGGGGAACUUCAGUUUCAAAUGGUAGAUCGAUACGAC